rnacentral:rRNA from 1 species
GUGCUACCGGCCGCUGUAAUCGUAGGGUGCUCUCUGUUGUGCGAGAUAAUUGGUCUAAUGGAUAUUCUACGUGGUUCGUCGCGUCUGCUGUGGAAACGCAAGGCUCAACCUUGCGCGUGCAGUGGGUACGGGCGGACUAGAGUGCAGUAGGGGAGUCUGGAAUUCCUGGUGUAGCGGUGAAAUGCGCAGAUAUCAGGAGGAACACCGGUGGCGAAGGCGGGACUCUGGGCUGUAACUGACGCUGAGGAGCGAAAGCAUGGGGAGCGAACAGGAUUAGAUACCCUGGUAGUCC